GUGGCUCCAGGUUUGUUUUUCUCCGGUACAGCCUGGUAGGGAGGGCUCCCGGCAUCUCCCUGCUUCGGGGCAGAGGAUGCCGGGGGUAGAGUACGGGAGGGCUGGAGCGAGGGUGGACUGGAGGUGCCGCUUGUCCUGGAGGUGGGAGAGAGGGAGCGGCUUUGCCGCCUGGCCUGCGUCCUAAUCCUGUCCUGGUUCUUCUGCUCCCGAAGGGAACGUAGGUCCCGCGCCUGUGAUAAGUAAGGUUGGAUUUUCUCUUCCCUGAGGUGAAGGAUGCCCGGAGGCCUCGGCAGGACCGUGCGGAAACGGGCCUUCUGCCCAAAAGAUGCUGCUUCUCUCCUUAUUCUUUCCCCUCAGAAUCUCGCUGUCUCCUUCCAACCACCUGUGGUCGGCAUCCCCGCGUUGUCACUGCGACGCAGAGGCGAGCGAGGUGGCGGGAAGCACCCGCGGGGCGGGGAGGGACCCUGCGGGCGCGGACUCCACACCAAGCCUCUGCUCAGCGUCACCCCGCUUGCUGUGUCCUCGCAGGUCGCAGCUUCAUGGCCUGAUGCCUUCAGGAAGUAUUUUGAAGUCAUCGUGGCUGUGGAUUGGGGGAUUUCUUGUUUCCACUGACCUGUGAGGCCGCGCACGUGGAGGGAGGCACCCCGGGUCCUCCGGCACUGUCCGGCCUCGCCUGUGUCCCUAGUAGCAGUGGGCAUUUCCAGACGGUGCAGCUUGUGGCUAAAGUGACAGGAAGAUGUAGGAGCUUUCAGUCUUGGAUGAGGAUUCGAACUGAAGGGCUUAGGCCCAGCUGUCUUGGAGCAAAACAUCUGUUGUGGGAUGUGGCGGCAGAGGAGGGCAAGGCCGAAGGAGCAGACAGCACCGCUUCUUGGGGAGUUGUGAAGGCAUCAUGCGGAGGGCCGAGCUUAGCAGCCAAGUGGAGGACAGCACCCUCCAUGCCUGGAUUCGUUACUCGCUCGUUCUCGAUGUUGAGCUGCUGGCAUAUUGCAGCACAACUAGAGAUGUACGGAUGCCCCCAUCUUGAUCUUACAGAAUCAGAGGUGCAGCCGCAAGAAAGCUACACCCUCUCGGUUUUCUCUGCUCUGCCAACACUAGUGGAAUAUGAUCACAUCCCAGGGAUCAGUGUCAUUUAGGGAUGUGACUAUGGGCUUCACUCAAGAGGAGUGGCAUCAUCUGGACCCUGCUCAGAGGACCCUGUAGAGGAAUGUGAUGCUGGAGAACUACAGCCACCUUGUCUCAGUAGGGUAUUGCAUUCCUAAACCAGAAGUGAUCCUCAAAUUGGAGACAGGCAAGGAGCCAUGGAUAUUAGAGGAAAAAUUUCGAAGCCAGAGUCAUCUGGAAUUAAUUAAUACCAGUAGAAACUAUUCAAGAAUGAAGUUCAAUGAGUUUAACAAAGGUGGAAAAUGUUUCUGUGAUGAAAGCAUGAAAUAAUUCAUUUUGAAGAGGAACCUUCUGAAUAUAAUAACAAUGGGAACAGCUUCUGGCUGAAUGAAGACCUCAUUUGGCAUCAGAAGAUUAAAAAUUGGGAGCAACCUUUUGAAUACAAUGAAUGUGGGAAAGCUUUCCCUGAGAAUUCACUCUUCCUUGUACAUAAGAGAGCUUACACAGGACAGAAAACAUGCAAAUAUACUGAACAUGGGAAAACC
ensembl:lncRNA ZNF37BP zinc finger protein 37B, pseudogene